rnacentral:rRNA from 1 species
UGGGGAAUAUUGCACAAUGGGCGCAAGCCUGAUGCAGCCAUGCCGCGUGUGUGAAGAAGGCCUUCGGGUUGUAAAGCACUUUCAGCGAGGAGGAAGGUGGUGGACUUAAUACGUUCAUCAAUUGACGUUACUCGCAGAAGAAGCACCGGCUAACUCCGUGCCAGCAGCCGCGGUAAUACGGAGGGUGCAAGCGUUAAUCGGAAUUACUGGGCGUAAAGCGCACGCAGGCGGUUUGUUAAGUCAGAUGUGAAAUCCCCGGGCUCAACCUGGGAACUGCAUUUGAAACUGGCAAGCUAGAGUCUCGUAGAGGGGGGUAGAAUUCCAGGUGUAGCGGUGAAAUGCGUAGAGAUCUGGAGGAAUACCGGUGGCGAAGGCGGCCCCCUGGACGAAGACUGACGCUCAGGUGCGAAAAGCGUGGGGAGCAAAACAGGAUUAGAUACCCUGGUAGUCACGCUGUAAACGAUGUCGAUUUUGGAGGUUGUGCCCUUGAGGCGUGGNUUCCGAGCUAACGCGUUAAAUCGACCGCC